GACGAACGCUGGCGGCGUGCUUAACACAUGCAAGUCGAGCGGUAAGGCCCUUUCGGGGGUACACGAGCGGCGAACGGGUGAGUAACACGUGGGUGACCUGCCCUCAGCUCUGGGAUAAGCCCGGGAAACUGGGUCUAAUACCGGAUAUGACUCCAUGACGCAUGUUGUGGGGUGGAAAGCCUUGUGCGGCUGAGGAUGGGCCCGCGGCCUAUCAGCUUGUUGGUGGGGUGAUGGCCUACCAAGGCGACGACGGGUAGCCGGCCUGAGAGGGCGACCGGCCACACUGGGACUGAGACACGGCCCAGACUCCUACGGGAGGCAGCAGUGGGGAAUCUUGCGCAAUGGGCAAAGCCUGACGCAGCGACGCCGCGUGAGGGAUGACGGCCUGU
rnacentral:rRNA from 1 species